rnacentral:lncRNA from 1 species
CCUACCAUACACAUAACAUACUAUCUAGAUUAACCUCAUAACCAUCACAUAACCAGACAAAGAUAAUUAUCACAAAGACCAUUAUCUUCUAAAUACCCCUUUUUGGUGGGUCGGCAUUGUGGCCUUANCUACUGGAAGGCAACUCACCUCAAUGUCGUGCAGUGUCUAAACUAUCCUCGGCACACAAGUCAACUCCCUAUGACUCCUCGAUCCUUACACGACAACCUUCAAGUCAACACACAUCACAUACAACCCUAAACAGGGUCAGUCCAAGUUCAGUCAAAGUCAACAUUGGUCAAAGUCAACAUUCAGUUGACCUGACUCGUCGAGUUGGCCUACUAACUCGUCGAGUCCAUGCUUCUCUAAUCCCACACAAAACCCCAACUCCACACGUCGAGUCUAGCAAAAACUCGACGGGCUCUCCUUCAAUCAUAACAUCAGGACCAAUUUCAUUCGACUAGCCGAGUUCCUUCUUGAACUCGUCAAGUUCAUCUCCAACGUAAGAACUUGUCUAGUCUAUGACUCGCCGAGUUGUAUGAACAACUCGUCGAGUCCAUCUUCAAAGAUUGGAAGAUUACUAUGGGCUCGCUGAGUCUGCUCAUACCACUCGCCGGGUCCUAUGGCUUCCAGGUCCCUUUUCGCGUCUAAACCCACAAGGGACUUCCUUCCUAACACUUACCCAUUCACAGAAAGGGUUUGGUGCACAAUGGUCACCGACUCGUCGAGUGCCAAGAACAACUCGCCGAGUCCAACCUUGACCAAUUCUAUACAAUCGAUUUAUAUGAGGUCUAACACACCAAAACCAUAGAUCUGGCCUCCUAAUGUCCAUUUUAUACGUAAAGUUCCAAACUUGAUGCACAUGCAUGGGGUUUUUAGCUCAAAAAUCCAUAUAAAGUGUCCUACAAUGUACAUGGGUCUCUCAUGGCCCUAAAGUUGGCACCUUUAUGCCAUGAGACCCCUCUUAAGGCCCAUAUAUGAAGUCAAAACCCACUCAACACUUCCAAAUCCAAAAAGUGACUUCGAAAUCCAUAUAGAUCCCAAGUUAAAGAUGAAUAAACACAUAGAUGAGUCAAGACAGGGGCAUUAUACCUUGAAGCUGCUGAAAAUGAAGUAAGAUCUCUGGAUCUGCAAGCCCCAACUCCAUUUCCAAGCUCCUUUCUUCCUUCCAAGCUUUACAAUCCACACAAGAACACCAAAAAUGGCCUUAACUCACACACAAAUAGCUAAGGUUCUAUAUGAAGCUCUCAAGAGAGUGUUAGGGACUAGGGAGGUUGAGUUAAGUUGUUUAUAUAGGGUGCAAACCUUCAGAUUUAGGGUUUCACUUAUCCAGCACCUACUGGCCGAGUCAGUCUCCCGACUCGUCGAGUCGGUCACUUAAAAUGUCCGCAGCCACGACCCUACUCGACGAGUUGAUCCUCCAACUCGUCGAGUCCUAGAGAAAAAUACAUAUACUGAAGAAAACAUACAAGGUGUUACAAAUCUCCCCCACUUAUUUUGGACUUCGUCCUCGAAGUCUGCCGCUCGAUUCUCAAAAAGCUCUGGGUAAUGCUCCCUCAUCUCGUCCUCCGACUCCCAGGUCCAUUUCGAGCCCUUUCGAUGCUGCCACUGAACCUUUACCAGAUCUACCCUCUUGUUCCGCAGAUCCUUUCACUUCCUGUCAAGAAUUGCCACCGGUCUCUCGAUGUAGUUCAAGCUGUCGUCAACCUGAAUAUCCUCCAAGGGUACCACCUCUGAUUCGUCCACCAAACAUUUCCGUAACUGGGAAACAUGAAAAGUGCUAUGAAUCUGACUGAGUUCGGCUGGCAGAUCCAGCCUAUACGUAACCUUGCCUACCCGGGCUAUAACCCUGAAAGGUCCGAUAUACCUGGGGCCUAGCUUUCCCCGCUUCCUGAAUUGGAUGACACCCUUCCAAGGUGACACCAUUAGGAGAACCGUAUCCCCGACCUGGAAUUCCAAGUCCGAUCAGCACUUGUCGGCAUAACUUUUCUGCCGACUCUAAGCAGUCUGAAGCCUGCUCCGGACCUAAUGGAUCCUCUCCGUAGUCUUGAGUACCACUUCGGUACUCCCCAUAACCCUCUGACCAACCUCACCCCAACAUAUCGGGGUCCUGUACUUCCUCCCGUACAACAUCUCGAAGGGAGGACGGUCAAUACUCACGUGAUAGCUGUUGUUGUACGAGAACUCAGCCAAAGGAAGGUAAGUAUCCUAACUACCUCUGAAGUCUAAGACACACGCCCGCAAUAUAUCCUUCAAAGUCCAGAUGGUCCGCUCACUCUGCCCAUCUGUUUACGGGUGAAAAGCGGUGCUAAAAUACAGACGAGUUCCCAGCUCGUCAUGGAACUUCUUCCAGAACCUGGAAGUAAACCGAACGUCUCUAUCUGAAAUCACCGAUACUGGCACCCCAUGCCACGCCACCACCUCCCUGAUAUAAAUGUCGGUCAACUUUUCGGCCGAAAUACUCUCCUGAAUCGGGAUAAAAUGGGCGCUCUUGGUCAAUUGAUCGACGAUGACCCAGAUCGAAUCCACUCCCCGCGUGGUCCUGGGAAGCUUUGUGAUAAAAUCCAUCGUGAUGUCUUCCCAUUUCCACAGCGGAAUAUCCAACGGAUGCAUCUUGCCGUGAGGUCUCUGAUGCUCGACCUUGACCUUGCUGCAGGUCAAGCACCGCUCUACGUACCAUGCCACAUCCCGCUUCAUGCAAGGCCACCAAUAGUCCAGACGAAGAUCCCUAUACAUCUUCGUCGCCCCGGGGUGAAUGGAGAAUCGAGACUUGUGCGCCUCCUCCAUCAAUACCUGGUGCACACCCCCAUGAUACAGGACCCACACCCUACGGUGCAGAGUCAACAACCCCCAGCUGUCAUAGUCAAAGGAGGAAACCUGAACCACAAUAUGCUCANAGUGUUCCUCCUUCAUCGCCUCCUGUUGGGCCUCUCGGAUCAGCUCCAACAGCGGAGCCACCACGGUCAUCCUCAUGCAGAUCCCUCUGAUCGGCGCUGCCUUGCGGCUAAGCGCGUCAGCCAUAACAUUGGCCUUCCCCGGGUGGUAAAGGAUCUUGUAAUCGUAGUCCUUUACCACGUCCAUCCACCAACGCUGCCUCAUGUUUAGAUUCGGUUGAUCCAUAAGGUACCUCAAACUCUUGUGGUCUAUGUAGAUAGUACAGCGAACCCCAUAAAGGUAAUGACGCCAAAUCUUGAGGGCGAACACAACAGCCCCCAGCUCCAAAUCAUGCGUCGGGUAAUUCGCCUCAUGAGGCUUCAGCUGCCUCGACACGUAGGCGAUGACAUGCCCUCUCUGCAUUAGAACUGCGCCCAAACCUGAGAUGGACGCAUCACAAUAUACGACAAAAUCCUCCAUGCCCUCUGGCAGGGCUAAGAUUGGCGCCUCGCAUAAUCUCUGUCUCAGAGUCUCGAAUGCGGCCUGCUGCUCAGGCCCCCAACGAAAGACCACGACUUUCCUUGUUAGCCUGGUCAGGGGUACGGCUAUCUUGGAGAAAUCCUAGAUGAAUCUUCGAUAGUAGCCGACUAAUCCUAGGAAACUCUGAAUCUCAGAUGGAGACUUCGGAACUUCCCAUCUCAUCACGGCCUCCACUUUGGCUGGGUCCACUAAAAUCCCAUCUUGGUUGACGAGGUGUCCAAGGAACUGCACCUCGUGCAACCAAAACUCACACUUGGAGAACUUAUCAUACAAGUUCUCCCUCCUCAAAGUCUCCAGAACCUCCCGUAGAUGCUCCUCGUGCUCCUCCUGCGUCUUGGAGUAAACCAAGAUGUCAUCAAUAAAUACUAUCACAGACCAGUCUAACAUUGGCCUACACACGCGGUUCAUGAGGUCCAUGAAUGCGGCAGGAGCAUUGGUGAGCCCGAAGGGCAUCACUAUAAACUCGUAGUGGCCAUAGCGCGUCCGAAACGCAGUCUUCUGCACAUCCUCCUCUCUGACCCUCAUCUGAUGGUAUCCUGAACGCAGAUCAAUCUUGGAAAACCAAGAUGCUCCCUGAAGCUGGUCAAAGAGGUCAUCAAUCCUUGGGAGUGGGUAACGGUUCUUCACCGUUACCUUGUUCAGCUCCUGAUAAUCUAUACACAUCCAAUGCGACCCGUCCUUCUUCUUCACAAACAUAAUCGGGGCUCCCCAGGGAGAACUACUCGGUCUAAUGAAUCAUUUGUCUAACAGAUCCUGUAGCUGUAUAGACAACUCCUGCGUCUCAGGAGGAGCCAGCCAAUAUGGUGCCUUGGCUAUCGGAGCUGCACCGGGGACUAGGUCGAUCCUGAAUUCCACCUGCCUCUCCAAAGGUAUCCCAAGCAACUCCUUUGGGAAUACAUCCUUAAACUCACGCACCACAGGCACAUCGCCCACCGUCGCCUUACCUGCCUCCCGGGUGUCCAUAACAUAGGCAACAUAUCCUACGCAACCCUGCUGAAGGUAACGCCUAGCUCUCGCUGCUGAACAUAGCAUUGGUCCUUGCCGUGACCUCUCGCCAUGAACUAUCAACUCUCCCCCACUUGGGGUUCUGAUCUGAACCAGCUGAUGCGUGCAAUCUAUCACUGCAUUAUUGGGGCUCAACCAAUCCAUGCCUAUAAUCACCUUGUUCCCCCUCAACGGAAUAGGAACUAGGUCUACCAGGUAACGCUCCUCGAACAGCCUUAAAACACAGUCCCGAUAGACCUCCGAUGCUCGUACCGACCGGUCGUCCGCAAUCUCGACCUCUAGAGGGAAAUCCAACAUGCCCGAAGACUCCGGAAACUUCUUGCUAAGCGCAAGAGAGACAAAUGAUCGGGUGGCACCCGAAUCAAACAACACCUGAACUGGGAUUCCGUUCACAUUGAACGAUCCUAAACAAGGCACAUGAUAUAUCAAAAUCACAACGACAUACAAUAAAAGCAUAAGGAUAAGAAAUCAUACCCGUCACCAUAUCGGGUGCAGCGCGUGCCUCCUCGGCUGUCAGCUGAAAUGCUCGGCUUCGAACCACUAGAGCCUCCAACUUGACCUUCCGGCCAUCCACAACCCGUCCUGUCACUAGNGCGCCACUGCCAGCGCCGCUGCUGCUGCCAAUCUAGGGCAAUUGGCCUUUUUAUGGCCCUUCUGAUUGCAAUGAAAGCAAAUCAGGUCUGACAUCUGAAUCAUUGUUGUAGGGGCAGUACAAUCCCUGCCAAAAUGCCCAACCUUGCCGCACUUAUAGCAUCUUGAACCCGACCCAGUGCGACAAGUUCCCUCGUGUGACCGACCACAUUUCCCAUAGCGGUCCCGCCCCUGACUGGCCUUUCGGCCUACCAUUGGAUCCCUUGGGCUUCUUCCCCGAAGCCCCCGUCAUCUGCCCCUCCUCUGCCUUCCUCUUCCGGAUGUGCUCCAGAUCAAUCUCCCUCUCCCUAGCCCUGGCAAUCAUGGAAUCCAGGGUAGGACAACCUGAAAAACUGACAUGCUCUCGGAUGUCAGCUCGUAGCUUGUCAUGGUAGCGGGUCCUCUUCAUUUCCUCACCCGCAUACUGGGUCACCAACAAAGCCCUCUCCCGGAACUUGGCGGUGAUCUCCGCCACAGUCUACGUAGUCUGUCUCAUAUCUAAGAAUUCCCUGGCCAGCUGCUGAAGCUCUACAGCUGGCGCAAACUCUGCUCUGAAUCGGGUCAUAAAAUCCAACCAUGUCAUAGCCUCAAUAGCCGCGGAUCCCAGAGAGUCACCAACCGAUUCCCACCAGUCCCUAGCCCGGUCCCUCAAACACCUUGCUGCAAAUCGUACCUUCGACCCCUCGGGGCAGAAGCUGGUCAGCUGUGCAGACUCAAUGUCUGCAAUCCAUCGUCUGGCAGCAAUGGGGUCCUUCGCCCCGUGGAAAUCUGGCAUACCACUCCCUUUGAAGUCCUUAAAGGACAGUGUGCAUGGUCCUGACUGGCUGGUCGCCAUGUCACUCCGGAACGCCCUGAGGCGAUCCUCCAUCAGCUCAAUGAUCCCCUCCUUGAUAGACCCAAAGAUAACUGGUGUCGCAUCAAGGAUACCCCUCGUGAUCUCGGACGCUAUGAACCCGCGUAACCCGUCAUCCACAUGUUCGGAUCCUGCCCCCGAGCUCGAUCCUGACCUGGAUCCUGAACCUCCUACUCCAUGUCGCGUGACCAUUAUUCUGAAACGAUAAACAUAUGAAUUUCAGGGUCACAUAUACUUUCUGGAGGUCACACACACUUUCCAAGUUUCCCGGUUCCAUCUAGGCCCUCCUCGGUUUGAGUACGGAUCCUCUGCUUUCAGUAGUACGGGCCCAUACUACCUUCCACAUCUAUCCGUACUUUCCUCAAGAAUUGCUUCGACUUCACCAAGUCCCUCUUACCGAUACCCUUUCUACUGACCUCAUCCUAGGCUUCCCUAGGGCACUCUCCGACCUACUCUCCGCCAUCAGCUGCACUAGGAGUCCCCACCACCUCCCCCUAACUAGCUUGCGGAUACUGUUACAUAUCCGCUCCUUAGUUAGUUGAAGUUGUUCAGAACCCCCCAUAGCACAAAGCAAGAAGCAUUCGUGCCUCGAGUAACCAAACUAGGCAUAACCUACACAGGCCAUCCUACUGCUGACUAAACAGUCCUAGCAUACAGCUCAUACAAUAGGCACAUAAGGCAUCCUUCCUAGAUCCUUAGCCCUAACGAGCAUGCAAUUCUCAGAAUCAUAUAUCAGGCACACAAGGCAUCCUCCUAGAUCCUCAGUCCUAUUCUAGCAUGCAGUUCUCUGAAUCAAAACCAUAUAACAUAACAUAACAAGUAUGGGUAUCUUGGGGAAAACUUACUUGAGCCCGGCCGGUCGCACGCAUCACACACUUUGUCUUUCUUAAAAUUUCUCAGUUUAGACUUUAGAAAACCAUUCUUUCCUUGAAAGAUCUUUUAGUCCCUCGGUUUGAGUCCAGACACCCCCGAGGGUGUGUCCGAAUCCCUCAAAUCAGAGCUCUGAUACCAACUUGUAACGACCCAAUUUUCAAGCCCAAAAAUUUCAUUUUUGAAUUAACGCAUUUAAUAAACAUUUUACCAAAACAUUUUCAAUAAAACAUUCCAUUACAAAAUCAUAAUGUUGUAUUUCAAACCAUAACAUCAAAUAUAUUGAAAAUCAGAGUACAGUCACAAAAACUUCUUGUUGAAACAUGUGUGUGUGUGUGAUGCGCUGCUACACCGCCGGCUUCUUCCCCUUCGACGAAGAGGUACCUAAAACCAAAACCAAAAUUGUAAGCACAAAGCUUAGUGAUUUCCCCCAUCAUACCAUAAACCAUACAAUAUCGUUGGUAUCUUUCAACCGAUAACCUUCAUCUGUAUCUUUCAACGGUAACCUUCNCCUUCAUCGGUAUCUUUCAACCGGUAACCUUCAUCGGUAUCUUUCAACUGGUAACCAUCAUCGGUAUCUUUCAACCGGUAAUCAACAUCGGUAUCUUUCAACCGGUAACUAGGGACUAUUUCACCACUAGCACACAAUCAACAGAUAUAAGCAUACAAUCAGGCAUAUCCGGGUAAUGACCUACCCUUGGGUCCUAAGAACCACUGUUAGGGAAACUAAUCCCUACCAUACACAUAACAUACCAUCCAGAUAAACCUCAUAACCAUCACAUAACUAGACCAAGAUAAUUCUCACAAAAACCAUUAUCUUCUAAAUACCCUUUUUUGGUGGGCCGACAUUGUGGCCUUAGACCCACCCUUACUGGAAGGUAACUCACCUCAAUGUCGUGCAGUUUAUGAACUAUCCUCGGCGCACAAGUCGACUACCUAUGACUCCUCGAUCCCUACACGACAACCUUCAAGUCAACACACAUCACAUACAACCCUAAACAGGGUCAGUCCAAGUUCAGUCAAUGUCAACAUUGGUCAAAGUCAACAUUCAGUUGACCUGACUCGCCGAGUUGGCCUACCAACUCGUCGAGUCCAUGCUUCUCUAAUCCCACACAAAACCCCGACUCCACUCGUUGAGUCUAGCAAAAACUC